UUCUGGGAAUUGAUGGGUAUAUGCUUUUCCUGCAGGAGACCCACCAGUGGCAGGUUGAACAGUAAAAUCUCUGAGCAUAUUUCGGCAUCAGUAACUCCCCUCCAUGUUUGUCUGGAGGAACAAAGAGGACCAGAACUGGGCUCAUGUGACGCCCCAGCUCACAAGCCUCAGGUCAAGAACACCUUUGAAAAUCAAAAAGCAGAAGAGGAAGUUCCUGAGGAGGCAGAGGGUGGAUCAGUUGAAAUCGAAGCAGAAGAGUUAAAACAGAGCCAAUCGAGUAUGGCUAACACUAUCAGCAACAUGAAAAUGACUAAUCCCAUCAAGGGGCUGGUCAGCAAACGCCGUAAACGUUUUACAGAAGAUGGUUUUGAUCUUGAUCUCACAUAUAUAAGAGAUAAUUUAAUAGCAAUGGGUUUCCCUGCCGAGAAGCUGGAAGGAGUGUACAGAAAUCAUAUUGACGACGUUGUUAAGUUGCUAGAGUCCAAACACAAAGAUCAUUACAAGAUUUAUAAUCUGUGUUCCGAGAGGUCCUACGAUUGCAAAAAGUUCAAACAGAGAGUAGCUACUUACGCGUUCGACGAUCACAAUCCACCGAAGCUGGAGCAAAUCAAACCUUUCUGUGAAGAUGUGCACGAGUGGCUUUCCCUACACAAAGAGAACGUAGCCGUGGUCCAUUGUAAGGCGGGCAAGGGUCGGACGGGUGUAAUGGUGUGUUGUUAUUUACUUCAUAGCAAGCAGUUUGCCAACGCCAUGGAUGCUCUUAAUUAUUACGGAACUAAACGGACUCACGAUAGGAAGGGAGUGACGAUACCUUCCCAAAGGAGAUACGUGGAUUAUUAUGCAACCCUUGUUCAAGAAGGUCUCAAUUAUCAACCAGUGACAUUGAUACUUCGUAAAAUACAACUAGAUCCAGUCCCCAUUUUUAACGGCGGUCAAGGAAGUCUGCGUUUUAUGAUCUCGGAAUCUAACAAAAGGAUAUAUAUGAAAGAUUAUGAGGUACGGAAAGGUACCUCCUCUAUAAGCAUCUCGCUAGAGAGCUACGUAGCGUUGACGGGAGAUAUACGGGUGGACUUUUUCAACAGACCGAAAAUGAAGCGGAAGGAAAAGAUGUUUCAUUUUUGGUUCAACACAUUUUUCGUCCGAGAAUAUACGAAUUCCGAUUACGACAAUGGCGAAUUACCGAGGUCGACAAGGGCAUUGAGCUGCGACGGCACGGCCAUGGAGUCGCCGAUGGUUAUGCCGCAUGUGAGAUCUAGAACUGGAUCGUUGGCAAGCCUUGGCCCCAUGCCGCCUACUCUCGUUUUACGGAUAGACAAAUGGGGCCUUGAUGACGCCCAUAAGGAUAAGAAUCACAAGCAGUACAGUUCAGAUUUUAAAGUGAGUCUAUUUAUGCAUUGUGUCGGCGGGAGCAUAUCGCCGGCUGCACCGGCGACGACGAACAGAACCGGGGACGGUGUGCAGCUGGGGAUGGCCGGACAGGAGACGUCGAGUGAAUCCAGCGAGGCCGACAGCAGCGAGUGCGACACCACCGGCGACGAGGACGGUUGGGAUUCUGGUGAGUCCUCUGCAUCUCUGGUGGUGAACCACCGCCAACACCAUCCCCUUACACACAGCAGUAGCCGUACACAUGUUAACUCUAAUCCGCGACUUAGUCUGAAAGAGACAGCCAAGAGUUUGCUGUCGCGCAGCGACAAAGGCAGGAACAGUAACAGGCAGAGCGUGGCCGGCGCGAAUGCAAAGUGCGCUUCCGCGUUCACGCGUCCGGCUGCUCUGGACACGUAGUUAGUAGCUAGCUCGCUUCUGGUACUUAAGAAAGAGCGGUUUUUCUCCGUCGGUACUUCGCGCGCGCGCGCGCACACAUACUCAUAUACACACAUACAACACAUACAUACACAUACAAGCACGCAAACAUACAUACAUACAUUCUCUCUUUUUCCUCGCAAAGUCGUACGACACGUGCACACGUUACGCGUUCUCUUCGCGAAGUCGCGGAACUACACACACGGUUGAUGUAUUUCUAUUUUCGUUUUUUCUCUGCGCGCGCGUUUAUUUAAGGGCUUGGUACGCAUAGAGUGAUGACUAGGAGCCGGAUCUGUCGUUUUCUUCCUCUUUCUUUUUCUUUUCUGAAAUAGUAAUCGCUAUACCCCCUCUUUCUUUUUGUACAGUCGUUACGUUUUUCACAUUCUUCUGAUCUAUUUCUCCGUGUGUUUAUUUAUGUUUGUUUCUGUCUUUCUUUCUUUUUUUCUCUUUCCUCUCUUUCUCUUUGUUUCUCUUCGGUACGUCGGUGGGACCAUGAGCCUUUCUUUUUCCGCAUUGACAAUUCGUAUCUUACCGAUUAGAAUUCGCGUCGCGGUCACGAUUGUUCACGUAAUACUCGAUAACGUGGACGAUUGAUCGUUGAACAUCAACUCGCGCUUGUUCGCAACUCUCUGGACCGAUCUGCGUAAAUCGAACAGCUCACCUUGGGAAGUAACGCCAUAACUAAUGUGAAAUAGUUCUCGCGACGAAGAGAGGUGCACAUUCGGCCCUAUACAACAUUUGUGACAACAGCCCGACGUUUUAUCACUUCGGCACGUAACAAAACGCGGACCACCGCGAACACGGUCGCUUACCAAUUCGCUCUGGCGACUCGUGUAUCUUGAACUCGUGUGUAUUAUCGCUUUAAACGAUCGCAGAUAGGAUGUGAUAGGAUAUUUAUCUAAAUGGGUUCUUCGUAAUUGCACCGGAACGACACACCAUUCGGCCGUCGGCGUAAGAAAUUGUUUUUGAAAGAGAAAAGAAAGAAAUUAAUUCUUUAUAUUUUGAUUAUUCGCAAACAAAGUGAACCAAUAAAAGAAAUUUUGCGCAACGGCAGAUCUUUUUCUCUCAUGUCUUUUCUGUUUUUUUAAAUCAGAAUUCGCGUCAUUCUCGGCAACGCGAAGCGAAUUUUAUUGAUUCUUCAGCGAUCCAUGUGUAUAUUUUCUUCUUUUUUAGCGAAAUCGCGCGUUCGCUCGUAUUUAAUCGAACUUUAUCUGUGACUCCGUCGGAGUAGAGAAUCGCGUCGGUACGGUAGGGGAAAGAGAAGGAGAAUACGCAAUACACAUUGAAAACUGUCAGGCUGUGCGAUAUCCAAGGUCUUUUGGGUAUCCUCUGAAAACGAAUUUUUGAGCUCGCGUUAACGCGCGCGUUAACUCAUUUCAAUUGGAGCACUCUAUCUCGUAGGAUAACCUUUGUUCUGACUAUUUUUCUUGUGAUUAUAUUAUAUCUAAGUGAUAUACGCAUACAUUUUUAUUAUUAUAUAUACAUAGUAUAUAUAUUAUAUGUAUAAACGUUUGAGAGAUAAAUGAAGAAUUUAUAGAUAUACGCAAGAGUAAUUACAUUUGACUAGUAUAAAAACAUAUAUGUAGCUUCACACACAUAUACGUACACAAACAACACACACAUACACGAAUACACACACACUCACACAUAUACAACAGAGACAAACCGACAUACAGAGACAGACAGACAGAGAUACUUAUAUUCCACCAAAGUAAAUCGUAGUACAACUCUUGAACAAUUUAUGCGCUGUUAAGAUAAUCGUAAACGGGACGAGGAAGAGAAGGAAAGGAGCGUAACAGCACGGACCGGACGGCGACAAAAUUCGGUUUUAAGAAAGCGGUCAUUCACGACAAGGAUUAACAACGAAGGAACGUGGAGGAGAACGUUGCGCAAGUACGAAAGAACACGCGUAGCGAUGAUAGCCUACGUAGUAAGAUCCAUCUAGCUGAAUUACGAUAGACGACCUUCUUUUCUUUUUUACGUUAGAUCGAUAAGACCGUAGCGAUAAAUGUAACGCCGUUCGAUUUAUCACGCGUCUUUUAGUAUAUUUAAUUGAACGAAAGAAAGAGGAAAAAUGGAAAAGAAGAAAAAAAACAUAGAAGAGGAAGAAGAGAAGAAGUGGAAGGACCGAGAUAUACCUUCCGUUAGUGUAAUAAAAGAAGAAGACCAUCAAUAUCUCACACAUAUUCCGCAAGUGUAGGAGCUACUUAGGCGUCAAACAUUACACGUUACAAAGUACCUAUCCUACUACUCUCCCGCUGACGAUGUCGGAUAUCUGUCUCCACGCGUGAAAGAAAAAAAAAAGAUGCACUCGAACUCAAUAAGUGAAAUUUCCAUCUCGGACAGAUUUCACUACCGGAAGCUUUACUGGGACCAAUAAAACUACUUUGUAAGUCAGCGUACUCGUUUCUCCGUUGAUAUAAUAAUCGAGGUCGCGAUGAUGACGAGGACCACGACGACGAAGACGACGACAACGACGACGAUGUGAAGACAAUGUGGCGCUUACUCUGAACUCUGUUUUAUCUAUCGGAAAAUGCCUUUAAAUGUGACCAAUUAGUAGAAGAUUUAUAAGUCACAUUUACAGGUACUUUUAUCGAUAAAAGUGUACUCAAAAAGAAAUAGUCUUACAGUCGCAGCGAAAAUUAUUUAGAUAACAAUCCCAAACAGCACAAAUCCGGAAUCCGCACAGAUCCGAUUAGGACAUCCGAAAAAUGUUCUGAGAACAUCCUACGUCCUGAAAAUGUUCCCAGGAUAUCCUCUAGAGAUUGUACUGUCCAGAAUUAGUUAAGACAGAUACAAAUGAAUAACAGAUUCUCUGCGAAAUCACAUAUGUUUUGUAUUUAUUCGACAUAGAUGAUAGAAACAGAAUUUGUAUCUGAACUAUUUCUGAAAUUUAGCAAGACAGUCUCUCUGUGACGCCCAUUCAAAUUAAGGCCAGUCAGAUUUCUUACGAGAAUAAGAUUGCGGCGGACAAUAAAAGACUUGCGAGGAGAGACAAACGAAUGCAUAAUUCUUACACUUAUAUAAAUAUACUUGCAGAAAUUGCUGCGGAAUGCGGUUGUUAUAAUUUUUAACUUGCCACAUGCAGUUUUCUAUCAGAUACAAAAAGACCGCGAUAAAUUUUGACUGCGACAUUUAUAGAAUUCUACUUGGACGAGCAAAACAUCUUUUUAGGUGUGAGUUCAGGAUAAGAAUGACGAUGACGAGGACGAUUUAAUCUUAAGAGUUCUAUUUAUGAUAUAUUAAAGUAGUACUUUGACUCAGCCUAUAGAGUACAAAACGCAACGUGACUUGAUCUCAGAUAAAACUAGAAAAUUAUUCUUGCUUCUCAGCUUCUGGGAGAGCGCGCGGCGUGUCUUUCCAUUGAUACACGAUGCAUAAAGAAGCGGUGUCGUCGCGCGCGUGUGCGUGAAGAAGGAAUCAUGUUUGAGAAAAAAAAAGGACAAAAAGUUUCGGCGCUUCCGCGAAAGCGAAACGGGAAAAAGGGGUGGGGGGGGGAAGGAAAAAGAAAGGAAGAAGGAGAAAAUCGGGAUCUCCCGAUCUCUGGUUCAUCACGAGUCGAUCUGUCGCAUUCACUCUCUCCUCAUGUAAAUGCGCGGCAGCGACGAUCAAACAAUUUUUUAUCAUUAAGAGAUUCCUUUUCGUUGAAUAUCUUUCUUUUUCUUUUUUUGUUUUACUUGUUUACGGCGAGAUUCGGUUUCUCUUUCAUGACGAUCGUUCUUUCUCGACCGAUCGUCGCUCUUACGCGAAAACGAAAACGUUCGUCUCUCUCUCACCCGAGAUAUCACGGCGGAGGAGUUCGAAACGUACACGAGACAGGCGGUUAUUACUCAUUCAUUAUCAGAUCGGCGACGAUGCGGCAAGGAAGAAGCCUGCGCGAGAAAGAGAGAGAAAGAGAGGGAGAGAGUAUGCCAUAAUAAAUAAAAUCGCGAAUGCGUCACGACAUGUAUAUCACACAUUCAUCUUCUUUAUCCAAUUCGUUCUCUAUUUCCGUACGCGCGUAACUCGGUGAUAUACCGAACGACUGACGAGGUGUGCGCCUUCUCCUCUUUUUUUUACUCUCGCUCGACCGAGGAUACCUUUCUUUUCUUUUUAUUUUUCUUAUUACGCUGUUGAUUUAAUUGAUUCGUGCACCAGUCGCGUGCAAGACUCCGCGAUUCGUUUCCCGCGACGAGAAAAACCGCGCGCGCGAAAGAUGUCUCUUUUAUUUUUUUACGUAUGCACGUGCAUGUGCAUGAUCGCGCGUUUGUUCCUAGUGUGAAGUAGUUCGCGGUUCAUCGCUGGUUGAAAUAAAGUCGUCGAGUCGAAUCUUACGCGAUUCCCAGCCGACUAAUCACAGCCCUCCCUGAAAACUGCGACUCCUGGUCCGAUGCGACUCGAUCGUGUUGACGGCUCGUUAGAGAGAAAAGGAACAUAGAGGCAAUACUAUACUACUAUACGCAAAAUGUUAAGUUACAUGUAAUGCGUAAAUGACAAGUGCGUUCUUUACACACAAUGUACCUUGCAAUAACAAUAAGUUUGAUAUUAAAACGACAUGCUACCCUCA